rnacentral:rRNA from 1 species
GAUGAACGCUGGCGGCGUGCUUAACACAUGCAAGUCGAACGAUGAAGCCCAGCUUGCUGGGUGGAUUAGUGGCGAACGGGUGAGUAACACGUGAGUAACCUGCCCUUAACUUUGGGAUAAGCCUGGGAAACUGGGUCUAAUACCGGAUAGGAGCGUCCACCGCAUGGUGGGUGUUGGAAAGAUUUAUCGGUUUUGGAUGGACUCGCGGCCUAUCCGCUUGUUGGUGAGGUAAUGGCUCACCAAGGCGACGACGGGUAGCCGGCCUGGGAGGGUGACCGGCCACACUGGGACUGAGACACGGCCCAGACUCCUACGGGAGGCAGCAGUGGGGAAUAUUGCACAAUGGGCGCAAGCCUGAUGCAGCGACGCCGCGUGAGGGAUGACGGCCUUCGGGUUGUAAACCUCUUUCAGUAGGGAAGAAGCGAAAGUGACGGUACCUGCAGAAGAAGCACCGGCUAACUACGUG